rnacentral:rRNA from 1 species
UACGUAGGGGGCAAGCGUUGUCCGGAUUCAUUGGGCGUAAAGAGCGUGUAGGCGGCCAGGUAGGUCGGUUGUGAAAACUGGAGGCUCAACCUUCAGAGGUCGACCGAAACCAUCUGGCUAGAGUCCGGGAGAGGAGAGUGGAAUUCCUGGUGUAGCGGUGAAAUGCGCAGAUAUCAGGAGGAACACCAAUAGCGAAGGCAGCUCGCUGGGACGGUACUGACGCUAAGGCGCGAAAGCGUGGGGAGCGAACAGG